UACGGGGGGGGGCAAGCGUUGUUCGGAAUUACUGGGCGUAAAGGGCUCGUAGGCGGCCAACUAAGUCAGACGUGAAAUCCCUCGGCUUAACCGGGGAACUGCGUCUGAUACUGGAUGGCUAGAGGCUGGGAGAGGGAUGCGGAAUUCCAGGUGUAGCGGUGAAAUGCGCAGAUAUCAGGAAGAACACCCGUGGCGAAGGCGGCUCUCUGGGACGGUACUGACGCUGAGACGCGAAAGCGUGGGGAGCGAGCAGG
rnacentral:rRNA from 1 species